rnacentral:rRNA from 1 species
CAUCGCCUCUUGCUAAUAUAAGAGGUCCAGCCUGCCCAGUGACUCAGUUCAACGGCCGCGGUAUCCUAACCGUGCAAAGGUAGCGUAAUCACUUGUCUUCUAAAUAAAGACUAGUAUGAAAGGCACCACGAGAACCAAACUGUCUCCCUUUUCUAAUCAGUGAACCUAAUCUCCCCGUGAAGAAGCGGGGAUUUGCUAAUAAGACGAGAAGACCCUAUGGAGCUUUAAACACAUAACACCUGCCCAUAAAUUAAUACCACGCAGACUGAUUAUAAGUUUUCAGUUGGGGCGACUACGGAGAAAACCCCACCCUCCGUGAUGACUACAACAAGCUACAGCUUUACGUAUCAAUAAACUGACACCAUUGACCCAAUAUAUUGAUCAACGAACCAAGUUACCCUAGGGAUAACAGCGCAAUCCUCUUAGAGAGCCCCUAUCGACAAGAGGGCUUACGACCUCGAUGUUGGAUCAGGGUAUCCUAGUGGUGCAACAGCUACUAAGGGUUCGUUUGUUCAACGAUUAAAACCCU